UACGUAGGCAGCGAGCGUUGUCCGAAGUUACUGGGCGUAAAGGGCGCGUAGGCGGCUCAUGAAGGCUGUGGUGAAAGUCCGGGGCUCAACCUCGGAUCGGCCGUGGCGACUCGUGGGCUGGAGCACUGUAGAGGCGGGUGGAAUUCCGGGUGUAGCGGUGGAAUGCGUAGAGAUCCGGAAGAACACCAGUGGCGAAGGCGGCCCGCUGGGCAGUGGCUGACGCUGAGGCGCGACAGCGUGGGGAGCAAACAGG
rnacentral:rRNA from 1 species